rnacentral:tRNA from 1 species
GGCACUAUAGCCAAGUGGUUACGGCGACAGAUUCGAAUCGUACGAUAUCUGUUCCUCUUUGAGGGCGCAGGUUCAAAUCCUGCUGGUGUCG